AAGAAGGAAGUAAAGCUGCGGCAGUGGACAAGUUACUGGCCAGGGAUGAGAUUGUCGGCAUCAACGACAUUGGUCUCUCAGCAUUUAGACAGGAGGCGAUUUGCCUAGUGAAGGGCUCUCAUAAAACCCUGAAGCUGGUAGUGAAAAGGAAGAAUGAGCUGAGCUGGAGGCCUCACUCCUGGCAAGUUCUCUGAUAGCCACCCCGACACACCAGCAUCUCCAUUCCCCUCUGCCAGCUCCUGUCCUUCCUGGCACGGCCGUCACCACCCCAGUUCUUCCUCCCAUGACCUGUCUGGCACGUGGGAGCACACGAAUCUGCAGCGUACCUCUGACCACUUUAGUUUCCUGGGGAGCGUCGACAGCCUGGGCGGCCCGAGCAAGCC